rfam:Triticum aestivum genome assembly, contig: Triticum_aestivum_CS42_TGACv1_scaffold_223240_3B
CAACUACUCCCUCCGUUGGGAAUUACUUGUGGAUAAAAAUGGAUGUAUCUACAACUAAAAUACAUCUAGAUACAUUCAUUUCUUGGACGAGUAAUUCCGAACGGAGGAAGUAGUCA